AAUUAAGUUUAUUAAUUUAUUAUUUAUAAAAAAAAUUUUUAAAAGUUUAAUUAUUUUAUUGGGGUGAUAAAAAAAUAAAAAAAACUUUUUAAUUAUUUAACAUAAAUAAGUGAAUUAAUGAUCCAUUAUUAUUGAUUAAAA
rnacentral:rRNA from 1 species